rnacentral:rRNA from 1 species
AUACGGAGGGUGCAAACGUUGCUCGGAAUUAUUGGGCGUAAAGCGCGUGUAGGCGGUCGGCUAAGUCGGAUGUGAAAGCCCCGGGCUCAACCCGGGAAGUGCGUCCGAUACUGGCAGACUUGAGUACGGGAGAGGGUAGCGGAAUUCCCGGUGUAGAGGUGAAAUUCGUAGAUAUCGGGAGGAACACCAGUGGCGAAGGCGGCUACCUGGACCGAUACUGACGCUGAGACGCGAAAGCGUGGGGAGCAAACAGGAUUAGAAACCCUAGUAGUCC